CCUACGGGGAGCUGCAGUGGGGAAUAUUGGACAAUGGGGGGAACCCUGAUCCAGCCAUGCCGCGUGUGUGAAGAAGGCCCUCGGGUUGUAAAGCACUUUCAGUGAGGAAGAACGCCUGGUGGUUAAUACCCAUCAGGAAGGCCAUCACUCACAGAAGAAGCACCGGCUAACUCCGUGCCAGCAGCCGCGGUAAUACGGAGGGUGCGAGCGUUAAUCGGAAUUACUGGGCGUAAAGCGCGCGUAGGUGGCUUGAUAAGCCGGUUGUGAAAGCCCCGGGCUCAACCUGGGAACGGCAUCCGGAACUGUCAAGCUAGAGUGCAGGAGAGGAAGGUAGAAUUCCCGGUGUAGCGGUGAAAUGCGUAGAGAUCGGGAGGAAUACCAGUGGCGAAGGCGGCCUUCUGGACUGACACUGACACUGAGGUGCGAAAGCGUGGGUAGCAAACAGGAUUAGAUACCCUAGUAGUC
rnacentral:rRNA from 1 species